GCCACGGCUAUUGGGAUCCGACUAAGCCAUGCGAGUCGAGAGGGUUCGGCCCUCGGCAGACUGCUCAGUAACACGUGGAUAAUCUACCCUUAGGUGGAGGAUACUCUCGGGAAACUGAGAAUAAUACUCCAUAGGUCUAGGAUGCUGGAAUGCACCUAGAUUGAAAGUUCCGGCGCCUAAGGAUGAGUCUGCGGACUAUCAGGUAGUAGUCAGGGUAAAGACCUGACUAGCCUACGACGGAUACGGGUUGUGAGAGCAAUAGCCCGGAGACGAUAUCUGAGACACGAUAUCGGGCCCUACGGGGCGCAGCAGGCGCGAAAUCUUCACAAUGUGCGAAAGCACGAUGAGGGGAUCCCAAGUGUUGGUUCGUAAGAGUCAUCUGUUUCUUUGUCUAAAAAACAGAGAGAGUAAGAGCUGGGUAAGACGGGUGCCAGCCGCCGCGGUAAUACCUGCAGCUCAAGCGGUGGCCGCUAUUAUUGGGCCUAAAACGUCCGUAGCCGGUUUAGUAAAUGCCUGGGUAAAUUGUGUAGCUCAACUAUACGAAUACCGGGUAGACUGCUAAACUUGGAACCGGGAGAGGCUAGAGGUACUCCUAGGGUAGAGGUGAAAUCCUGUAAUCCUAGGGGGACCACCAGUGGCGAAGGCGUCUAGCUAGAACGGAUUUGACGGUGAGGGACGAAGCCCUGGGGCGCAAACCGGAUUAGAUACCCGGGUAGUCCAGGGUGUAAACGCUGCUCGCUUGAUGUUAGUCGGGCUCCGAGCCCAACUAGUGUCGGAGAGAAGUUGUUAAGCGAGCUGCCUGGGAAGUACGGUCGCAAGGCUGAAACUUAAAGGAAUUGGCGGGGGAGCACAGCAACGGGUGGAGCGUGCGGUUUAAUUGGAUUCAACGCCGGA
rnacentral:rRNA from 1 species